GGGGAAUAUUGUGCAAUGGGGGAAACCCUGACACAGCGACGCCGCGUGAGCGAAGAAGGCCUUCGGGUCGUAAAGCUCAAUAGUAUGGGAAGAUAAUGACGGUACCAUACGAAAGCCCCGGCUAACUACGUGCCAGCAGCCGCGGUAAUACGUAGGGGGCGAGCGUUGUCCGGAAUUACUGGGCGUAAAGAGCACGUAGGCGGCUGUAAAAGUCAGAUGUGAAAAACCUGGGCUCAACCGAGGGUGUGCAUCUGAAACUAUAUAGCUUGAGUCAAGGAGAGGAGAGCGGAAUUCCUGGUGUAGCGGUGAAAUGCGUAGAGAUCAGGAAGAAUACCAGUGGCGAAAGCGGCUCUCUGGACUUGAACUGACGCUGAGGUGCGAAAGCGUGGGGAGCAAAC
rnacentral:rRNA from 1 species